rnacentral:rRNA from 1 species
CAACGCGAAGAACCUUACCAGGCCUUGACAUGCAGAGAACUUUCCAGAGAUGGAUUGGUGCCUUCGGGAACUCUGACACAGGUGCUGCAUGGCUGUCGUCAGCUCGUGUCGUGAGAUGUUGGGUUAAGUCCCGUAACGAGCGCAACCCUUGCCUUUAGUUGCCAGCAGUUCGGCUGGGCACUCUAAAGGGACUGCCGGUGUUAAACCGGAGGAAGGUGGGGAUGACGUCAAGUCCUCAUGGCCUUUAUGACCAGGGCUACACACGUACUACAAUGGCCGAUACAAAGGGCAGCGACACUGCGAGGUGAAGCCAAUCCCGUAAAAUCGGUCUCAGUCCGGAUUGGAGUCUGCAACUCGACUCCAUGAAGUUGGAAUCGCUAGUAAUCGUGGAUCAGCAUGCCACGGUGAAUACGUUCCGGGCCUU